UUAACUCAAUUUUGUUUGAAAUUGGAACGUUUGCCUGCGUUUGCCGCUAGAGGCGCUGUUCCAAUUGCAUACAAACUUGAGUUA
rfam:Bombyx mori DNA, contig: Bm_scaf96_contig35326, strain: p50T/Dazao, build 2, whole genome shotgun sequence.